CCUACGGGCGGCAGCAGUGAGGAAUAUUGGUCAAUGGGCGCGAGCCUGAACCAGCCAAGUCGCGUGAGGGAAGACGGUCCUAUGGAUUGUAAACUUCUUUUGUCGGGGAACAAAAGACGCCACGCGUGGCGUUCCGAGAGUACCCUAAGAAUAAGCAUCGGCUAAUUCCGUGCCAGCAGCCGCGGUAAUACGGAAGGUCCGGGCGUUAUCCGGAUUUAUUGGGUUUAAAGGGAGCGUAGGCCGCAUGUUAAGCCUGCUGUGAAAUGUCCGGGCUCAACCCGGGACUUGCAGUGCGAACUGGCGUGCUGGAGUCCGCGGAAAGCAGGCGGAAUUCGUCGUGUAGCGGUGAAAGGCUUAGAUAUGACGAAGAACCCCGAUUGCGAAGGCAGCUUGCUGCAGCGGAACUGACGCUGAUGCUCGAAAGCGCGGGUAUCGAACAGGAUUAGAGACCCGUGUAGUC
rnacentral:rRNA from 1 species